GUGCUCACUUCAACAGCACACAUACUAAAAUUGGUACGAUACAGAGAAGAUUAAUAUGGCCCCUGUAUAAGGAUGACGUGCAAAUUCGUGAAGUUUUCCAUAUGAAG
rnacentral:snRNA from 1 species